GUGGAGAUAAGAAUAAAUUCAGGGAAGAAGCAGAAGGCCAAAAGUGGAGCAGCCAUCUACAGGUGCACUUUUAAAAGGGAGUGGACAGCAGAAUGGCCCUUCAUUAGUGUAGGCACAACCACCGCCUACUUUUGGUGCUCUGUUUGCCGACAUGAGAACAGCUGUGCCCAUCAAGGCAAGGCUGAUGUCGCAAGGCAUAUCAAAAGCAAAAUACAUCGUUCAAAAGAACAGGCAGCACAGUCAACAGCCAGCAUUGCGCCAUAUUAUGGCCCAGCCACUGUUGGUGGCAUGACAUCUCAGGAAGUCAAGACAAGGAGAGCUGAGGUAAAGUUAGCAGUGUCGAUGGUGGAACACAAUGUGCCAUUUGCAGUAGCCGAUCACUUCAGCCCAUUGCUGAAAGAAUGCUUCAAAGAUUCCCCUACUGCACAGAGCUUCAAGGCUGCCCGCACAAAAAUGUCCUGCAUAAUAAAUGAAGCAGUGGCUCCUCACUUUGGAAAGGAACUGGUCAUGAAGAUGAGGACCAAUCCUUUCACGUUGAUCACAGAUGGAUCAAAUGAUACAGGACGUGAGAAGAUGAACCCGCUCACUGUGCGGGUAUAUGACAGUGAUCUCAGCAAAGUUGUCCACAGGUUCCUGGAUAUGUGCCCCACCAGCGGGCCAAACUGCGGCACAGCUGAAGUCAUCUACAAGAAGAUGGAUGAGGCCAUGCAGAAAAACGCCAUACCAUGGAGAAACUGUGUCAGUCUGUCAGUUGAUAAUGCCCCUGUCAAUACAGGAGCAAGGGACUCCAUCGCAUCCAGAGCUCAUCAAGAACAUGGCAGUAUCUACAUCCAUGGGUGCCCUUGUCACCCAUGGAUGUAGGAUCUCGCUGUGGAUGUUGGAUAUAGGUUUAAAGGAAGCACCAAUCGCAAAGGUUACCUAACAGAAUUCUGUGAGCUCCAUGGAAGUGAGUAUAUGGAAAUGCUCAUGCACGUUUCUGUUCGAUGGUUGAGCCUGGAGAAGUGUUUGACUCGUAUCCUGCAGCAGUAUGAGCCACUGGCCAGCUACUUCAAGUCAUUAAAUGACAAACAGCCAAGGUUCAGGAGGCUUGUGGAGGCAUUCUCUGACUCAAUUACAGAGGUGUACCUACUGUUCUUUCAAGCAACUUUUCCAGUCUUCUCCACAUUCAACCUCCUCCUCCAGAGAGAGAAGUCGUCAAUCUUCCUACUACAUGAUGAGAUGAGGGGUUUUAUCCGCAAGCUGCUCUCAAAGUUUCUGAAGCCCGCAGCAUUGCAGCACCGGGAACUGCAUGAAAUAUGCUUUAAGGAGCCAUCCAACCAACUGCCAGGAGAAAAGUUGGUGAUUGGCUUCACUACUCGAGUUACACUCAACAGGCUCCUUGAAGCAGGAGCCAUUACACCGCAGCAAGUGCAGAGGUUCCAGAAGGCAGCAGUGGCGUUUCUGGAAAGGGCUGUGGAGUAUGCCAUCAAGAAACUCCCCAUGAAAGAGCCUCUGAUUAAACAUGCCAUGUUUCUGGAUGUCCAGCAGAGUGUGGAGUGGAAGAUGCCUUCUACUUUGUCAAGUUGGGCUAUCAAAUUUCCUGAACUUCUCCCAUACAAUGGACCUGAAGAGCAUGACAAACUUUGUGAGGAGUUUCUGGACUACCAGACCAUGGACAUUGCCAUGCCCGACGACCCAGCAAUGUUUGACUUUGAGAGAUUUUGGGGGAACAUGGCAUCAAUGAAGAACAAGGUGACCGGUAUGAGCAGAUUUGGCAGGCUGUCUUAGAUAUUAGAAGAGCCGAAUUAAAUCCUCCCUUCGUCGUAGAGCUCGAGCAUGUGGCGCCUGUGGCCAGGGAUCUCUGGGCAUCGGGUCAUCUGGCUGCAGGUCGGCAAAUGGCACCCCAUUUGCCAGCGCAAUAUUAUGCAGAACCCCACAUGCUAAAAUAAUAUUGCAUGUCUUUUCUGGGCUGUAGAGCAACGUUCCCCCCGCUGACCCGAUGGACAUCCACCUGCCCUUGAGUAGGCCUAUACAUCGC
ensembl:lncRNA